UCCUAGUGCAAUUGGAGGAGUAGCUUACUACAAAGAAGUCUCAAGCUAACAUAACAAAGGCUACUUUAGGAGAAGCCAAGAUCUUUUUGGAGGAAGAUGAGAAAUCUCUUAAGAUAAGGAUCGCCCAGCUCUAAGAGAGUGAAGCCGAGGCUACUUGCUUGUGGGAUCAGCUGGUGAGGACUGAAAGGGCUGUGCACCAAGCUAGAGAAGAGGCGACCCAAGCAAAGGAGUGAAGAAAAUCUAGGUGAUCAGCAUG
rnacentral:lncRNA from 1 species